GGGGAACCGAUGGGGGGGAGCGGGCAGCGAGGGGGGCUAAAGGGGGUCGCCCGGUCGCGCUCCCUUGGGGCAGGCCUCAAGGGAGGGCUGGGGCUGGGGGCGCGAUUUUCCAAGACCCCUCGCCUGCGGCGCCCCCUCCUCAGCAACCUGAGCGCUCCCCUCCCUCGGGGCCCGCUCCCGGCCGAGGGAUGCGGGAUGCGCCGGGAGGUGCCAGGAUGCGCGGCGCUGCAGGCGCGGCCCAGGGCCCCUCAGGGGUCGCGUCACCACGCAGGCGAAGCCAGGAGCUGGAUCGCCUAUGCCUCCCGCCUUGCGGGAGGGGGUCUGGGGACCAGUGGAGAAGAAGCUGGUUCAAAGUCACCUGGAAAUUUAGCAGCAACUUGGAAAGAAGAACUCAAGACUCCAGACUGUUCAAUGCUAUUUAAUGUCUGACUAAAGGUCACCUCUUCCGAGAAGCCUUCCUUGAACUCAUCCCAUCUUCUGUGUUACAUCGCAUGUACCUUGACUGCUGCAAAGUCACUUCAGUCGUGUCUGACUCUGUGCGACCCCAUAGACGGCAGCCCACCAGGCUCCCCUGUCCCUGGGAUUCUCCAGGCAAGAACACUGGAGUGGGUUGCCAUUUCCUUCUCCAAUGCAUGAAAGUGAAAAGUGAAAGUGAAGUCGCUCAGUCGUGUCCAACUCUUAGCAACCCCAUGGACUGCAGCCUACCAGGCUCCUCCGUCCAUGGGAUUUUCCAGGCAAGAGUACUGGAGUGGGGUGCCAUUGCCUUCUCCGGUAUACCUCAACAGGACACCCUUUAUCACAACAAGCCACUUUAGUGGAAUCUGUCCCUGCUGGAGUGAGACAUCCUUGAGAUAAGGGACUGCGUCUUAUUCACCUCGUGUGGUAUGGCUGGUGUUUCUUACAUAAGCAUAGUUGUUUAUUGAGUGUCUAUUAUGUGCCAAGGCGCUUAUGUAAUGCUCACUCCCCUUCACGAUUGUCCUACAAGGUAGGUAAUAUUGUCUUCAUUUUACAGAUGGGAAAAAAAAAAUCUCCUGGAGCUCAAAGCAGCUUGUCCAGGUUCCCCCAGGGAGUGAGUGGCAGAGCUGGGGUUUGAAUCCAAGAUGCUUUUGCACCUCCUUCACCACCAGCGCUGCCGUGGUGUUUGUUCAGCAUCCAGCGGAGGGCAGCAUGGCCCUCACGGCGGGCCCUCUCAACUGGGCUGUGGAGCAGCUGGAAGUACAGAGCCCAGCUCCCCCACCAUCCUGGGAGAAAGAAACUGCAAAGAGGGGAAAAGAAUUUGACCUUCAUGGAGCUCACAAUCCACUGGAGAGAUGGCUCAGACACCAGUGGAGGAGCCAAUAGAACAAAUGCAGUCCAUCACGAAAACUCUUUUUAAAAUGUAUUGUGUGUAGGAAUGACAACCCUCAUAGAAAAUCCCAGGAUUUUCUCU
rnacentral:lncRNA from 1 species